rnacentral:rRNA from 1 species
GGGCUUCGGCUCGACUCUCCCACCCUUUGUGAACGUACCUCUGUUGCUUUGGCGGCUCCGGCCGCCAAAGGACCUCCAAACUCCAGUCAGUAAACGCAGACGUCUGAUAAACAAGUUAAUAAACUAAAACUUUCAACAACGGAUCUCUUGGUUCUGGCAUCGAUGAAGAACGCAGCGAAAUGCGAUAAGUAAUGUGAAUUGCAGAAUUCAGUGAAUCAUCGAAUCUUUGAACGCACAUUGCGCCCCUUGGUAUUCCGGGGGGCAUGCCUGUUCGAGCGUCAUUACAACCCUCAAGCUCUGCUUGGAAUUGGGCACCGUCCUCACUGCGGACGCGCCUCAAAGACCUCGGCGGUGGCUGUUCAGCCCUCAAGCGUAGUAGAAUACACCUCGCUUUGGAGUGGUUGGCGUCGCCCGCCGGACGAACCUUCUGAACUUUUCUCAAGGUUGACCUCGGAUCAGGUAGGGAUACCCGCUGAACUUAAGCAUAUCAAUAAGCGGAGGAAAAGAA